UCUUGACCUCGGAUCAGGUAGGAAUACCCGCUGAACUU
rnacentral:rRNA from 8 species